rnacentral:ncRNA from 1 species
GAUUAAGCUAUACAUAUGUAAGUACAAACUAAUUUGAAAUGUUAAAAUACGAAUAUUUUAUUAAAUCAGCUAUAAUUUGUUUGAUGAUAUAUGCUAUUCAGAUUGUCGUAGUAAUUCUAGCGCUAAUACGUAUAACGAACCCUGAUUUUUGAGAGGGACACAUUUAUUAUAUUAGUUAAAAGGUUCACAUGGACUCUCCUUGCUGAUCUAGUGACGGAUCGCAAGCUUGUGCCGGUGAUACAUCAUUCAAAUGUAUGUUCUAUUAACUUUUGAUGGUACGAUAGGGUCUACCGUGGUGGUAACGGAGAGAAUUAUAGUUGGAUUCUAGAGAGAGGGAACAUGUGUGUUGUCCACGUCACGGUCGUCGGUUAGCAAAGCAGUAGGGC